rnacentral:rRNA from 1 species
UACGGAGGGUGCGAGCGUUGUCCGGAUUUAUUGGGUUUAAAGGGUGCGUAGGUGGCUUGUUAAGUCAGUGGUGAAAUACAGCCGCUCAACGGUUGAGGUGCCAUUGAUACUGACGAGCUUGAAAGAAUUGGAGGCUGCCGGAAUGGAUGGUGUAGCGGUGAAAUGCAUAGAUAUCAUCCAGAACACCGAUUGCGAAGGCAGGUGGCUACGAUUUAUUUGACACUGAUGCACGAAAGCAUGGGGAGCAAACAGG